rnacentral:rRNA from 1 species
AGGAGGCAAGGCGUUAUCCGGAAUUAUUGGGCGUAAAGGCGUCCGUAGGUGGCUCUCUCAAGUCUGUCGGUCAAAGACCGGGGCUCAACCCUGGAAAGGCCGUGGAAACUGGUGAGACUAGAGGUGCGGUAGGGGCAGAGGGAAUUCCCAGUGUAGCGGUGAAAUGCGUAGAGAUUGGAAGAACACCGGUGGCGAAAGCGCU